UAGCUAGUUGGUGAGGUAAAGGCUUACCAAGGCGACGAUCUGUAGCGGGUCUGAGAGGAUGAUCCGCCACACUGGAACUGAGACACGGUCCAGACUCCUACGGGAGGCAGCAGUGGGGAAUUUUGGACAAUGGGGGCAACCCUGAUCCAGCCAUGCCGCGUGAGUGAAGAAGGCCUUCGGGUUGUAAAGCUCUUUCGGCCGGGAAGAAAUCGCAUGGGCCAAUACCCUGUGUGGAUGACGGUACCGGAAUAAGAAGCACCGGCUAACUACGUGCCAGCAGCCGCGGUAAUACGUAGGGUGCGAGCGUUAAUCGGAAUUACUGGGCGUAAAGCGUGCGCAGGCGGUUUUGUAAGACAGGCGUGAAAUCCCCGGCCUUAACCUGGGAACUGCGUUUGUGACUGCAAGGCUAGAGUACGGCAGAGGGGGGUGGAAUUCCACGUGUAGCAGUGAAAUGCGUAGAGAUGUGGAGGAACACCAAUGGCGAAGGCAGCCCCCUGGGUCGAUACUGACGCUCAUGCACGAAAGCGUGGGUGGCAAACAGGAUUAGAUACCCUGGUAGUCCACGCCCUAAACUAUGUCAACUAGGUGUUGGGUGGGUAAAACCAUUUAGUACCGUAGCUAACGCGUGAAGUUGACCGCCUGGGGAGUACGGCCGCAAGGUUAAAACUCAAAGGAAUUGACGGGGACCCGCACAAGCGGUGGAUGAUGUGGAUUAAUUCGAUGCAACGCGAAAAACCUCACCUACCCUUGACAUGCCAGGAACUUGCCAGAGAUGGCUUGGUGCCCGAAAGGGAGCCUGGACACAGGUGCUGCAUGGCUGUCGUCAGCUCGUGUCGUGAGAUGUUGGGUUAAGUCCCGCAACGAGCGCAACCCUUGUCGUUAAUUGCCAUCAUUUGGUUGGGCACUUUAACGAGACUGCCGGUGACAAACCGGAGGAAGGUGGGGAUGACGUCAAGUCCUCAUGGCCCUUAUGGGUAGGGCUUCACACGUCAUACAAUGGUCGGUACAAAGGGUUGCCAAGCCGCGAGGCGGAGCCAAUCCCAGAAAGCCGAUCGUAGUCCGGAUUGCAGGCUGCAACUCGCCUGCAUGAAGUCGGAAUCGCUAGUAAUCGUGGAUCAGCAUGUCACGGUGAAUACGUUCCCGGGUCUUGUACACACCGCCCGUCACACCAUGGGAGCGGGUUCCGCCAGAAGUAGGUAGCCUAACCGCAAGGGGGGCGCUUACCACGGCGGGGUUCGUGACUGGGGUGAAGUCGGAACAAGGUAGCCGUAGAGGAACCUGCGGCUG
rnacentral:rRNA from 1 species